rnacentral:rRNA from 1 species
UGAGUACGAGAUGCUACGGCAUCGAAGCAGUCUAUGUCAUACUUCCAAGAAAAGCUUGCACUGUCAGAAACAGAUAAUGCCUGUACCAUAACCGACACAGGUGGGUAGGUAGAGUAUACUAAGGGGCGCGAGAUAACUCUCUCUAAGGAACUCGGCAAAAUGACUCCGUAACUUCGGGAGAAGGAGUGCCUUAUUUUUAAGGUUGCAAUAACAAGAUCCAAGCAACUGUUUACCAAAAACACAGGUCUCCGCUAAGUCGUAAGACGAUGUAUGGGGGCUGACGCCUGCCCAGUGCCAGAAGGUUAAAGAAGUCGGUUAGCAUUCGCGAAGCUGGUAACUGAAGCCCUGGUGAACGGCGGCCGUAACAAUAACGGUCCUAAGGUAGCGAAAUUCCUUGUCGGGUAAGUUCCGACCCGCACGAAAGGCGUAAUGAUUUGGAUACUGUCUCGGAGAGGGGCUCGGUGAAAUAGACUUGUCUGUGAAGAUGCGGACUACCUGCACCUGGACAGAAAGACCCUAUGAAGCUUUACUGUAACUUGAAAUUGAAAUUGGACUUUAUUUGCGCAGUAUAGGUGGGAGGCGUUGAAAAUAUUCUUGCGGGAAUAUUGGAGCCAUCAGUGAGAUACCACUCUUGUAAUGUUAGAUUUCUAACUUUAUAUCAUUAUCUGGUUAAAGAACAGUUUCAGGCGGGCAGUUUGACUGGGGCGGUCGCCUCCCAAAUGGUAACGGAGGCGCACAAAGGUUUCCCCUGAACGGGUAGAAAUCGUAUCUAGAGUGUAAAGGCAUAAGGAAGCUUGACUGUGAGACCUACAAGUCGAGCAGGGACGAAAGUCGGUCUUAGUGAUCUGACGGUGCUGAGUGGAAAGGCCGUCACUCAACGGAUAAAAGUUACUCUAGGAUAACAGGCUGAUCUCCCCCAAGAGUUCACAUCGACGGGGAGGUUUGGCACCUCGAUGUCGGCUCAUCGCAUCCUGGGGCGGUAGUACGUCCCAAGGGUUGGGCUGUUCGCCCAUGAAAGCGGUACGCGAGCUGGGUUCAGAACGUCGUGAGACAGUUCGGUCCAUAUCCGGUGUAGGCGUUAGAAUAUUGAGAGGAGCCUUCUUUAGUACGAGAGGACCGAGAAGGACAUACCUCUGGUGUACCAGUUAUCGUGCCAACGGUAAACGCUGGGUAGCUAUGUAUGGAGUGGAUAACCGCUGAAAGCAUCUAAGUGGGAAGCCCACCUCAAGAUAAGUA